AUGCCUCGCCCUGCUUCAGCUCUCGCUGGUCGGGCUGCAGCAGCUGACCAGCACGAUCGUCCGGCACUCCCCAGUGAGAUGAACCCAGUACCUCAGUUGAAAAUGCAGAAAUCACCGGUCUUCUGUGUCGCUGGCGCUGGGAGUUGGAGACUGGAGCUGUUCCUAUUCGGCCAUCUUGCUCCGCCCUCCAUAAAAGCCAUUUUAACCAAGGAAGAAGGUGCUUUGUGGAGAAGCGGGUCUUCAGAGUUAGAGAAAGGAAUGCAUCAGAGGGAAAUGGAAACUGGAGGAAACACUGAGAAAAGACUUUGAAUCCAAUGUGCCUUUUUGUAUAGAAGUCACAGCAGCAAGGACUACAGACUAUGUACAGUGAAACUAUGAACUUUGUAAGAUUUCUUAAAACUCCAAAUGCCCCUGUGCUUGUCCUUGUAUUAUCUUCUGACUGUUUCCCCAAAGGAAUAUGCAGUAAAAACUUGAAAACCGAAAGGAUAUGUAUUUGGGUUUGAAUGCACCAAGAAAAGUUUAAUCUGGAGAAAGGAUAAACCACUGAGGAGGCAAAUGUGGGAGGGAAAGGAGCCCCAAGGGAAUGACUGUGUAUAGUUAAAGAGGAAGGCAAAGCAGACUGGGUCCAUGGGGACCACACAAGGAAAAAGAAAAGCACAGAAAACUGGUCUUCACCUUAGAUAAACUCUGGGGAUUUUACCAUCUGAAAUCCCUAGUAGAGUGAGAUGGCUUAAAGCGAGCCCACUGUAACUAUAACAGCUAAAUAAACACUAGUUCCAAAAAAUUUAAAAAAGAAAUGAAAAGUAUCAGGAUGGAAACCAGGACUGUUGGCAGUGAUCAAUAAAGUAUUGUGGAUUCUUUUUUUUUCUAAUCCUUUCAUCAGCUCUACUUGUCUAUUUUCUUCUUUAUCUCUCAGUUAUGUAUGCUCCUCACUUUUAUACUGUGCUUAUUUUUGUCAUUUUUAGUAUCUGCUUCUCUUUUUACAUUUAGUGAAAAAAAUAAAGAAAAAGGAAAACUUCAAAGAGCAUCUAAUUCAACACUCUCAUUUUAACCAAAAGAAAGCUCAAGGGACAUAAGGACAUGAUCAGUGUUAACAGGGAUUAUUGGUAGUAGCAGAGCUGGGGAUGAACGUUGCUCUGCUGACUCUUUGUGUGUUUCCCACUAUAUGAGACUGCCUUUCUAGCCUAGCCUGAUGCUGAAAUUUCAGUUAAGAACAAUCACAAAUGUAUCAAAAGGUCCUUGUGUCCAUUUGAGUUGUCAGGGAAGCUGAUACCAAGAUAGAAUGAGAUUUACUGGGGGAGGCACCUAUGAAGAAUAAAGGAGAGCAGAACAAAAAAAAAAAAGAGAGAGAAAUGGCUUUAGACCACAAGGACUAUCUGACACUGGCAAUAAGAGAGGGAAUGAAGGAAGAGACUUGAACUGCUAUGGAACUCUGAGAAAAUCUCAGCCAGGUUCAUAGGGAGUCCCAAAGAAGAGUCCCACAUUAAGCAGAAAUGUCUCUACUUUAAUAUCAUCAGUCAUUGCUUAGUCAUUGGCUAAGAGUUCAAAUGUGGUGAGCAGUGGGAACACCGAAUGGAUCACCUGCCUAUGGGACCUGGUAGUUUUGGUUCAUUACGCUCUGCACAGUAGAGUAAUGAACCAAAACUCUGUGAACUUCAUAUUGCCUUUAAAUACAAAGCCAACCCUGCUUAAUAAUUUUGCUUCUUUAUCCCGCCGCCAUGUCUUCGGAAGCUGAAGUCCACUCUUGCAGGUUCUGUCUUGAAGAAGAUCUAACUUGUAUACUCCUAUGACCUCCUCGGUUCCCUCCUAUACAACUUACUUUAAAUGGGUCUCUAGUAAGAUGAGUGAGUAUAUUUGCUGUCUAUUGCUAUCUAACAAAUUACCACAAAAAUAGUGGCUUAAAAAUAUGCAUUUAUUUCAUAGUUUCUGUGGGUCAGGAAGUGCAAUUUACCUAAGUCUUCUGCAAGGCCACAGUCUGUGUUGGCUGGGGCUGGUUUCUCAUCUGAGGUUCCACUGGGGAAGGAUUUUCCUCCAAUAUUGUAUGGCUGCUGAGUGAAUACAGGACUUCACAGUUUGUGAGGUUGAAAGUCUCAGUUUCCUGCUGACUGUUAGGUUUUUUGGUUUAUUCGUUUUGUUUUCUUUUUUUUGUUUGUUUUUUAUACUUUAAGUUCUAGGGUACAUGUGCACAACGUGCAGGUUUGUUACAUAUGUAUACUUGUGCCAUGUUGGUGUGCUGCACCCAUCAACUCGUCAGCACCCAUCAACUCGUCAUUUACAUCAGAUAUAACUCCCAGUGCCAUUCCUCCCCGCUCCCCCCUCCCCAUAAUAGGGCCCAGUGUGUGAUGUUCCCCUUCCAGAGUCCAAGUGAUCUCGUGUUCAAUUCCCACCUAUGAGUGAGAACAUGCGGUGUUUGGUUUUCUGUUUUUGCGAUAGUUUGCUGAGAAUGAUGGUUUCCAGCUGCACCCAUGUCCCUACAAUUUGUUUUCUUUUUGAGACUAAGUCUUGCUCUGUCACCCAGGCUGGAGUGUAGUGGUGAGAUCUUGGCUCACUGCAACCCCUGCCUCCUGGGUUCAAGCAAUCCUUUCACCUCAGCCUCUUAAGUAGCUGAGAUUACAGGCGCCUGCCAUCCCACCUGGCCAAUUUUUGUAUUUUUAGUAGAGACAGGGUUCACUAUGUUGACCAGGCUGGUCUCAAACCCCUGACCUUAAGUGGUCCACUCAGCUCGGCCUCCCAAAGUGCUGGGAUUACAGGUGUGAGCCACCAUGCCCGGCUUUGGCUGUUGGUUAUUGACUGCUCUCAGUUCCUUAUCAUGUAGCCUUCCUCUUAGGGCAGUUUGCAACAUGACAGCUUGCCUCUUCAGAGCUAGCAAAGAAGACAGUUUUCUAGCAAGAUAGACAUUACUAUCUUAGGAAAUAUGAUCAUGUAUAUGUAAUAUUCUGUGCUGUAUUCUGUUGGUUAGAAGCAAAUCACAGGUCACACUCAUACUGAAGGGGAGGGGAAGAUAGCAAGGCCUGAGUACCAAGAAGUUAAGAUAGUUGUGGUAACUUUAGAAUCUGUCUGCUAUGGUGGGAAACUGUUUAUUGGGCCAGAAGGACUGCUGAGCAUUUAUACACAUGAGCAUUUGGGUUCUCCCUUCUGAGACUAAAACCUUGAAGAAGAUAAGCAUAAGAGUAUCCAGCAUCUCAAAUUAUCUUGAACAUUCUUGAAAAGGACUGUCCUACAAGAUCAGUGCAUUCAUUUAUUGUAUGGUGUAUACAUUAUCAGAGUGGAUCUCAUGGGGAAUCUCAUACUUAGGAGAUGGUGAUUAUGUGAGUUUUCUGAGAACUGAAGACACUUAUUCUUGUUCGUUAUACUCCAGGCUGUCAAAAUACUCUUUCUUCUGGGUUCAUGUAAACUUAAGCAAGGCAUUUAACUUUCUUGAGUCUCAGUUUCCACAUUCUAACAUUCUCCUGAUCCCAUCUUAGAAGUUUAAGCUUAUUCUCCCAUCCAUGAAUAUUCUCUGUAGAUAUAUGCAUGACUUCUCCAUCCCCUUCUUCGGGUCAUUGCACAAAAUACAUUAUCUCAGUGAAAUCUGGUCCAUCCGUUUAUUUAAUAUUGCAACCCACCCCUCCCUGCAACACACUUGAUUUUCUUUACUCUGUUCAACUUUUGCUUUUCUCAUCAUGCUUAUUAUUUUCUAGUACACAGUAUAUCAUUACUCAUUUAUUAGGGUUAUUGUUUCUUCUUUGUCUGGCUAUGAUUUCUAGAAUAUAAGCUUCAUGAUUGCAAAGAUCUUUGUUACUUUUGUUUGUUUAUGUAUCUCAAGUACAACUAAAGAAAAAUUACCUAUAGAAUGAGUUUAAUCUUUUAAAACAACUCUCUGUAUUAGAUAUUAUCAUUAUUCCCUUCAGCCCAC
rnacentral:lncRNA from 1 species